AACAACCAUGUUAUUCGCAACUAUUGAUUGAGAAAAAUACUUAAUGACAAAAAGAUACCAUGAAUUCAUUAUCUCUUUUAAAAGGAUUGGCAUUUUGUUAAAGACAACACACAUAUGUGUGAAAAAUAGUGAGAUAGAUAUUUGUGAGACUUUACUUAUAUGGUCUACAGAUGGUAUGUUUGCUUAUUUAUUAUUCUGAGUCACUCUGUAUAUUUUUUGUUGGAGCUAAAUAAAGAUCAACAUGACAAUGCUUGGUGACUAUAUGGGUUUAGGGACUCACUCUCCGCUUCAAUUCAACCUAUGCUCCAAACAAUCCUCUGCGAGGGAUAGGUGCAUUUCAACAGGAAACUAAUUCAGUCUCCACCCAAAGGAAUGACUUUCAGUGGUGAAAUUUCAGAAAAAAUGUUGGAGUAAAGGAGUAAAGUUUGCAGGGGAAAUAUUUGAGAGAGAGUAUUUAAACAAUAAACAUGCAAGUAGGAAUAUUUCUAUGUGAGGAAAAGGAAAACAAUUGGAGGGGUCUUGGCUCAGAGGACACACAGGGUUAGCCCAGGGCUUGAAGACCACUGCCUACCUGCUGGGAAAUGCCAGGACCCGACCAGCCUGCAUAAAAAUGGCCCAUGCCUGUGGGAAACCUCAUCUGAUUUUUCCUCUUCCUCUGCAUGGAAAAAUUCUCCUGCCACCGCCAGCAACAGCAGUGGCCCCCAGCCAGUACUGAAUCAGGCCACUCGCUGCUGUUUCUCCAGUUCCAGGGACCUCCCCUGCACCCCGGCUUCCACGGAAGCCAGGGCUGGGGCUACGCAUCAGGAACGCAUCUUGUAGCCUGCUAACCAGAGAAAAGCUCUGCCCCUCCUUGGCCAAAGGUGUCCCAGCUUCACUGGAUUCUUUAUUAAGGCCUGAAACCAGAGCCCAGGCUCUGAGUCCAGGGAAAGGAUUCACUGUCUAGGACUAGCACAGACGCUCUUGGCAACCGCUUGCUGCCUGUUCUUUGGAAAAGAAACUCAGAAAAAAAUGAGAUUGCCCUUUUCUUCCUUCCCCACUCCAUUAUUGUAAUUCUGCAAGGCAGAAGAAUGACCAGUCUGCUGAGUCAUUAGAGGCUAGAAGAGGAGCCGAAACAGAGAUGGCGCAGACACAUUCCCCACCCACCCCCAACGCAUCCACCCCCAGCCUGUGGAGGGCCCCUUCUCCUUCUCCAGAGGCACACCCGAUAAACCUCUGGCCGAGAAGUACAAGCUGCUCAUCGGAGACAGAAGGAGAAUAUCAGGACUGGUUCUUUCGCUCCUAGGACCCGACGCCGAGCGAAAGGACCGGAACCAGGAGAACAACGUAUAGACAACAAACAACCGGACCAUUCUGAACGACACAAUGACCAGCCUGGACUGCCGAGGACGGAGGAUGGCGUGUGCCACCCACCUCCUGCCCGAGAGUCGGUGACUCGGGGUGCAGAGGGAGACUGAUAGGCUUUGGACGUGGUCAAUACGAGAAUUUUAUUUCUGUGGCUGUGUGUUAGAAAAAAGAGGGGUUUGUUUUGUGAGGCGAUGGGAGAGAAAAUAAAUUUAAUUAAAAAUUUUAACA
ensembl:lncRNA